GACUAACGCUAACGGUGUGCUUAAUACAUGCAAGUCGAACGAGCAAUGUGAGAGUGGCAACACUCCUGCAAAGCUAGUGGCGAACGGGUGAGUAACGCGUAGGUAAUCUACCUUGAAGAUUAGGAUAACCUUCCGAAAGGAAGGCUAAUACUAAAUAUUUUAUAUUUUUCGUAUGAUUAAUAUAACAAAGGUAGCCGCAAGGCCUCCGCUUUAAGAUGAACCUGCGUCCUAUUAGCUUGUUGGUAAGGUAAUGGCUUACCAAGGCUAUGAUGGGUAGCCGGCCUGAGAGGGUGAUCGGCCACACUGGGACUGAGAUACGGCCCAGACUCCUACGGGAGGCAGCAGUAGGGAAUAUUGCGCAAUGGGCGAAAGCCUGACGCAGCGACACCGUGUGAAGGAUGAAGGUCUUCGGAUCGUAAACUUCUGUCAAUCGGGGACGAAGGUAAUAAGGUUAAUAGCCUUUAUUAUUGACGGUACCCAAUAAGGAAGUCUCGGCUAACUCCGUGCCAGCAGCCGCGGUAAGACGGAGGAGGCAAGCGUUGUCCGGAAUCAUUGGGCGUAAAGAGCGCGUAGGCGGUUUUUCAAGUCGUAUGUGAAAACUUCAGGCUUAACCUGAUGAUUGCAUAUGAAACUGGAUAACUUGAGUACAGCAGAGGAAAGUGGAAUUCCUGGUGUAGCGGUGAAAUGUGCAGAUAUCAGGAAGAACAUCGGUAGCGAAGGCGGCUUUCUGGGCUGUUACUGACGCUGAGGCGCGAAAGCUAGGGGAGCAAACAGGAUUAGAUACCCUGGUAGUCCUAGCCGUAAACGAUGGACACUAGGUGUGGGAAGUUAUCGACGCUUUCUGUGCCGAAGCUAACGCAUUAAGUGUCCCGCCUGGGGAGUACGGCCGCAAGGCUA
rnacentral:rRNA from 1 species